rnacentral:rRNA from 1 species
UGCAGUCGAACGGUAACAGGAAGCAGCUUGCUGCUUCGCUGACGAGUGGCGGACGGGUGAGUAAUGUCUGGGAAACUGCCUGAUGGAGGGGGAUAACUACUGGAAACGGUAGCUAAUACCGCAUAACGUCGCAAGACCAAAGAGGGGGACCUUCGGGCCUCUUGCCAUCGGAUGUGCCCAGAUGGGAUUAGCUAGUAGGUGGGGUAACGGCUCACCUAGGCGACGAUCCCUAGCUGGUCUGAGAGGAUGACCAGCCACACUGGAACUGAGACACGGUCCAGACUCCUACGGGAGGCAGCAGUGGGGAAUAUUGCACAAUGGGCGCAAGCCUGAUGCAGCCAUGCCGCGUGUAUGAAGAAGGCCUUCGGGUUGUAAAGUACUUUCAGCGGGGAGGAAGGCGAUAAGGUUAAUAACCUUGUCGAUUGACGUUACCCGCAGAAGAAGCACCGGCUAACUCCGUGCCAGCAGCCGCGGUAAUACGGAGGGUGCAAGCGUUAAUCGGAAUUACUGGGCGUAAAGCGCACGCAGGCGGUCUGUCAAGUCGGAUGUGAAAUCCCCGGGCUCAACCUGGGAACUGCAUUCGAAACUGGCAGGCUAGAGUCU